CUGGAACAGCAGUUCUGUGUGAGUCGAACAUCUUUUGUCUAGGUUUCAGUCAUCAGCAACUUCAUUCAUUAUGCAGACGAUGAAAGAGACAUUCAGAGAGGUUAAAUAAUUUGCUCGUGUAUACACAACCAGUAAAUUGCAGAGCCAGACUAAUGACAAAAGUAGAGGAUCACUGACUGCUGGGUGAAAAUAUGGAAGGUAAAUAUGAGCACCCCCACUUAAUCCUUAGCAGUAUGAUAAGUAAAAUUUAGAGUUUCAGAAUAAAUGCAUUACGUUAACUUCAUAAACUUAUAACUAAUUUUAUUAGU